rnacentral:lncRNA from 1 species
CUUUUCACUCCACACCACUCAUGCCCUGGCAUAUUCCUCUGCUCACCCUCACAGUGUGAGUGCAUCUCCAUCCAUGUGGGCCAGGCCGGAGUGCAGAUGGGCAAUGCCUGCUGGGAGCUGUACUGCCUGGAGCACGACAUCCAGCCCAGUGGCACCAUGCCCAGCCACAAGGCCCUGGGGAGCAGUGAUAACUCCUUCAACACCUUCUUCAGGGAGACCCAGCCUGGCAGGCAUGUGUCCUGGGCUGUCUGUGGACCUGGAGCCUGCUGUCAUAGGCAGCUGUUCCACCCUGAACAGCUGAUAUCUGGCGUGGAAGAUGCUGCCAACAACUGUGCCCGUGGCCACUACACUGCGGGGAAGGAGAUCAUCGAUUUGGUGCUGGAGUGAAUCUGAAAACUGGUGAGCAGGCCUCUGGCACCUACAGGAGGUCGUUGCAUCCUUAACCCUCUUCCUGGCUGGGAGGCAACCACAGCCUGUGCUGGUACCUGACAUCAUUCCUCCAGCCUGUCAGUCCACUCAGCUUCUCUUAAGGGGAUAUGUGUUUUCUGUCCUGGGUACGGAUCUAGGGUUGGAAGCCUGAAU